rnacentral:rRNA from 1 species
AAUGCGUGGUGUAGCGGUGAAAUGCAUAGAUAUCACGCAGAACUCCAAUUGCGAAGGCAGCUUACUAAACCAUAACUGACACUGAAGCACGAAAGCGUGGGUAUCAAACAGGAUUAGAUACCCUGGUAGUCCACGCAGUAAACGAUGAUUACUAGGAGUUUGCGAUACACAGUAAGCUCUACAGCGAAAGCGUUAAGUAAUCCACCUGGGGAGUACGCCGGCAACGGUGAAACUCAAAGGAAUUGACGGGGGCCCGCACAAGCGGAGGAACAUGUGGUUUAAUUCGAUGAUACGCGAGGAACCUUACCCGGGUUUGAACGUAGUCAGACCGGCCUUGAAAGAGGUCUUCUAGCAAUAGCUGAUUACGAGGUGCUGCAUGGUUGUCGUCAGCUCGUGCCGUGAGGUGUCGGCUUAAGUGCCAUAACGAGCGCAACCCUUAUCACUAGUUACUAACAGGUUAAGCUGAGGACUCUGGUGAGACUGCCAGCGUAAGCUGUGAGGAAGGUGGGGAUGACGUCAAAUCAGCACGGCCCUUACAUCCGGGGCGACACACGUGUUACAAUGGCAUGGACAAAGGGCAGCUACCUGGCGACAGGAUGCUAAUCUCUAAACCAUGUCUCAGUUCGGAUCGGAGUCUGCAACUCGACUCCGUGAAGCUGGAUUCGCUAGUAAUCGCGCAUCAGCCAUGGCGCGGUGAAUACGUUCCCGGGCCUUGUACACACCGCCCGUCAAGCCAUGGGAGCCGGGGGUACCUGAAGUCCGUAACCGCAAGGAUCGGCCUAGGGUAAAACUGGUGACUGGGGCUAAGUCGUAACAAGGUAGCCGUACCGGAAGGUGCGGCUG